AUCACGAGGACGUGCAUCAGAAAUCACAUUGCGGCCCGAUUUGCGCCGCUGGCGCGCCGCCGGUCCCGUGCAUAUAUCGCGGAUAGGGCCCGGCUCGGCGAGACCCGGAUUCCUCAGCCCCCCAAGCCCCCUGGGUAUUGUACGGGUCGGGUCCUACUUCCAGAAAACUGUCUGACGACUCAUAGCCAGUGCCCAAGCGCUGGCUUUU
rnacentral:sRNA from 1 species